GACGAACGCUGGCGGCGUGCUUAACACAUGCAAGUCGAACGGAAAGGCCCUGCUUUUGUGGGGUGCUCGAGUGGCGAACGGGUGAGUAACACGUGAGUAACCUGCCCUUGACUUUGGGAUAACUUCAGGAAACUGGGGCUAAUACCGGAUAGGAGCUCCUGCUGCAUGGGGGGGGUUGGAAAGUUUCGGCGGUUGGGGCUGGACUCGCGGCUUAUCAGCUUGUUGGUGGGGUAGUUGCCUACCAAGGCUUUGACGGGUAGCCGGCCUGGGAGGGUGACCGGCCACAUUGGGACUGAGAUACGGACCAGACUCCUACGGGAGGCAGCAGUGGGGAAUAUUGCACAAUGGGCGGAAGCCUGAUGCAGCAACGCCGCGUGCGGGAUGACGGCCUUCGGGUUGUAAACCGCUUUCGCCUGUGACGAAGCGUGAGUGACGGUAAUGGGUAAAGAAGCACCGGCUAACUACGUG
rnacentral:rRNA from 1 species